rnacentral:rRNA from 1 species
UGUACCCUAGGGGGGCAGCAGUGGGGAAUAUUGCACAAUGGGGGAAACCCUGAUGCAGCGACGCCGCGUGAGCGAAGAAGUAUGUCGGUAUGUAAAGCUCUAUCAGCAGGGAAGAAAAAUGACGGUACCUGAGUAAGAAGCACCGGCUAAAUACGUGUCAGCAGCCGCGGUAAUACGUAUGGUGCAAGCGUUAUCCGGAUUUACUGGGUGUAAAGGGAGCGCAGGCGGUGCGGCAAGUCUGACGUGAAAGCCCGGGGCUCAACCCCGGGACUGCAUUGGAAACUACCGAGCUA